AAGAUACUUCCUCCGUUCCAAAAUACUUGACCCUCACUUGUCUAGAUAUGGAUGUAUCUAUACUUGUUAGUGUCUAAAUACAUUCUUGUCUAGACAAAUUGGAGUCAACUAAUUUAGAACGGAGGUAUAUGUU
rfam:Triticum aestivum genome assembly, contig: Triticum_aestivum_CS42_TGACv1_scaffold_578873_7BL